GUCAAGUCAGCAUGGCCUUUAUGUCCAGGGCUACACACACGCUACAAUGGUCGGUACAGAGGGCAGCCAAGCCGCGAGGCGGAGCUAAUCCCACAAAGCCGGCCUCAGUUCAGAUUGCAGGCUGCAACCCGCCUGCAUGAAGUCGGAGUUGCUAGUAACCGCAGGUCAGCCAUACUGCGGUGAAUACGUUCCCGGGCCUU
rnacentral:rRNA from 1 species